rnacentral:misc_RNA from 1 species
GCUAUGGCUGAUGGGCUUGAAGAAUUGGCUUUGAUAAAUUGUGAUGUAGUGGAAAGAGAAUCAGGUUUGUUGACUACAUUAGGACAAGAUUUGAAAAGAUUAAGGAAAUUAGACUUGUCUUUUAAUGACAUGUUACUUGAUAAAGAACUUAUAUCAAUGCUAGUAUCCUGCAACAAUUUGAAUGAAUUGAAGGUAAGGGGUUGCAAAAAGUUGACAAAUUUAUCUAUGGUUUCAUU